CCCCCGUCUCACUCUCCAUUCUCUGGAUGUCAGCCAGACUGUGCUGGAACUUAGUUACGUGACUGUCUGUCCAUUCUGUCCCAUAAACAUGCAAUAAAAUCAGUGCGACUCUGUGCUUUACCCACUUUUACCGGUGUAACUCACUCUCCCGUUGACUGGCUCCUGUCCAGUUUGAGGAGCAGUUAACUUCUUGGUUUAUUAGAUAUGGGUGAAUACUAUGGGAAUAUGUGCUCAGUUGUGAAUGAGAAGGUUUUUUUUUGUGACUAGAGGAGCAAAACCUAUUUAAAUCCAGGGAAAUAUACCAGCCCCGGCUGCAGGUUCAUUCGAUGUAGUGACACCAUGAGGGAAAAAAAACACCAACACUCCGCAUCGGUCUGGGACACCACCCACCAGUACGUGUGAACCUGUCUGGCCACUGCUGCUCCUCCCACUGACCUGUGGAGAAUUCGGCACAAUCACAGUGACGCUGGGACAGGUCUGAAGGCCAGUUAAAACAAUAUAGUCAAGAAUGACAAUGGGACCAGAUGGGGACUCCGCUGGACAGACUGCAGCCUAAACCCACCAUUUUCCAGGCUGUUGACACUCCCUGUCUGUGUGGUGUGAGCCUGGGGAGUUGUUAUCCCUUCCGAAAGAGAUGGUUCGCGAUCCAUCCCAGAAAGACGGCAAACACAAGACUGAUAACCAGAGGCUUAGUUAAUCGUCUACAAUCAGGGUUCCCGACCCCUGGUCCGCGGUCAGUUUUCCACCAGGACGGAGUACCCUGUUUUAUGGAAGGGCUGGUUAAUUCCCAAAAAUAAAGGCCUAUAUUCUCACGA